AGACCGGCGCACGGGUGCGUAACGCGUAUGCAAUCUACCUUUUACAGAGGGAUAGCCCAGAGAAAUUUGGAUUAAUACCUCAUAGUAUGUGAGAAUCGCAUGGUUUUCACAUUAAAGUUCCAACGGUAAAAGAUGAGCAUGCGUCCCAUUAGCUAGAUGGUAAGGUAACGGCUUACCAUGGCGACGAUGGGUAGGGGUCCUGAGAGGGAGAUCCCCCACACUGGUACUGAGACACGGACCAGACUCCUACGGGAGGCAGCAGUGAGGAAUAUUGGACAAUGGGCGCAAGCCUGAUCCAGCCAUGCCGCGUGCAGGAUGACGGUCCUAUGGAUUGUAAACUGCUUUUGUACAGGAAGAAACACUCCCUCGUGAGGGAGCUUGACGGUACUGUAAGAAUAAGGAUCGGCUAACUCCGUGCCAGCAGCCGCGGUAAUACGGAGGAUCCAAGCGUUAUCCGGAAUCAUUGGGUUUAAAGGGUCCGUAGGCGGUUUAAUAAGUCAGUGGUGAAAGCCCAUCGCUCAACGGUGGAACGGCCAUUGAUACUGUUAAACUUGAAUUAUUAGGAAGUAACUAGAAUAUGUAGUGUAGCGGUGAAAUGCUUAGAGAUUACAUGGAAUACCAAUUGCGAAGGCAGGUUACUACUAAUGGAUUGACGCUGAUGGACGAAAGCGUGGGUAGCGAACAGGAUUAGAUACCCUGGUAGUCCACGCCGUAAACGAUGGAUACUAGCUGUUG
rnacentral:rRNA from 1 species